CAAUAGCGUAUAUUUAAGUUGUUGCAGUUAAAAAGCUCGUAGUUGGAUUUCGGAUGGGAUUUGCCGGUCCGUCGUUACGAUGUGCACUGGCCAGUCCUAUCUUGUUGUCGGGGACUAGCUCCUUGGAUUCACUUCCUGGGACUAGGAGCUGACGAGGUUACUUUGAGUAAAUUAGAGUGUUCAAAGCAAGCCUACGCUCCGAAUACAUUAGCAUGGAAUAACACGAUAGGACUCUGGCUUAUCUUGUUGGUCUGUGAGACCAGAGUAAUGAUUAAGAGGGACAGUCGGGGACAUUCGUAUUUCAUUGUCAGAGGUGAAAUUCUUGGAUUUAUGAAAGACGAACUUCUGCGAAAGCAUUUGUCAAGGAUGUUUUCAUUAA
rnacentral:rRNA from 1 species